CUGACCUCACGGUAACAAUACGAGUCUUUCCAACACGUUUUGUCCUCACUCACGUGCAUCUUGAGAAAACAUCCUAGGAUGUCACCCAUCCCAAUAUUGUUGCAAGACAAACACACUUAACCUUGGAGUUUUUAUAGGUUGGGCUCCGGUAAAGAAGAUGCAUCUUGUUGUCAUGAGUAGUAUCAAUCAAAUAUUUUAUGAAUCCUCAGUUAUAUAGUCUCAUACCUAUACAUCCUCGAAAUACCUCUUGUUCUGGUGCGAGAUCGGUUCAGUCAUGUGUGCCUCCGGCUAGAAGCCUGCUAGGAGCCGCUCCUUGUCUGUGUCUCAUUGCACCGACAGUCACUCCCCGCCCUCAUCAGCCAGGGUGUCACAAAACCUAUAUAUUUUACAAAAAAAUAUGUAAAACGGGUUAUUUAUUAGUUUUCACUUUUCUUAUUUUUUAAUCCUCAUUCACCUAUUUGAAUGCAGUUUAUUUAUUUACUUUGAUAGCAUGAGGGCCUUACGCCCAAUGAAAAAUCUUCAGUAAGUAGAUUUUAGGAAUUGAUGAGACUUCUGUAUUGAGACACAAACUAAAUGUUUUCAACCUGCCGAAGGAGUAUGUAAGGUGUAAAGAUUAACAUGUUUCCUAAAUACAUAAUAGGCUAAAUAGCACUUUUGAUCUCCCAGGAUUCAAAAAUGUGUAAAAGUGGUUCCCAAACUUUAAAAUUGAUAUUUGGCCUCCUGAAGUUAGCCUCUGUCAACAAUUUUAGUCCCUCAUCAGUCUUACAUCCAAAACUAAAGGUUUUGGCUUAUUUGGAAUUUUUAAAGGAGGUGAUAACCAAUUAGGAGAAAGUGGUAAUUAGAUUAUAAAAAAAAUCCUAAUCCCUCCUUUUCAUCUUGUCUUCAUUAUCUUCAUCUUCAACCUCAUCCAUCAUUCUUCAUCCUCAACAACAACGGUAACCCAAAAAUUUUCCAAACCCAGAUAUGGAAACAACAAUAAAAAUUAAAAUCUAAGAAUGAAAAUUUGAAACAAAGCUCUCUACCCAUCAAUCAAUUCCUUCUUCUCCUUCUCCAUUCUCAAACUUGUAAUCCAAUCUAGCACCGGUGAACUCUCUAGGAAAAACCGGUGGCAAACCAAUUUGGGCGAGAAAAGCCCUCAACUUUGGAUGCUCCAAGCUCGAAAACGACACAAAGCCAGAAGAUUCAUAUACGCAAUCAGCAAGAUGAUCAAGGGCACUAUCAACCUGGGUAUUUGCUGAGAGGAGAAUCAGGUGAAGUUUUCAGACUCUUCAGCUUCUCACACUGUCCUCCAACAUAGCCAAAGCUCCAAAAUCCUCUUUCCACCAAACAUGCCAGAUCCGAAUCAAUUCCUUCAGAAUCUCUCACCGUGACGAGCCCAGCUGCGUCGUGGCCUUCAGUUCCCCCUCGACCUCAUCCCUAAGCCUCUCCCAACCCAAAUCUGACCCCAGAUCCGAUCAUAACUAAGAUUCUUGGCACAAGUGUGGAGAGAGAGAGAGAGAGAGAGAGAGAGAGAGAGAGAGAGAGAGAGAGAGAGAGAGAGAGAGAGAGAGAGAGAGAGAGAGAGAGAGAGAGAGAGA
rnacentral:lncRNA from 1 species